GAUGAACGCUGGCGGCGUGCCUAAUACAUGCAAGUCGAGCGAACUGAUUAGAAGCUUGCUUCUAUGACGUUAGCGGCGGACGGGUGAGUAACACGUGGGCAACCUGCCUGUAAUACUGGGAUAACUUCGGGAAACCGAAGCUAAUACCGGAUAGGAUCUUCUCCUUCAUGGGAGAUGAUUGAAAGAUGGUUUCGGCUAUCACUUACAGAUGGGCCCGCGGUGCAUUAGCUAGUUGGUGAGGUAACGGCUCACCAAGGCAACGAUGCAUAGCCGACCUGAGAGGGUGAUCGGCCACACUGGGACUGAGACACGGCCCAGACUCCUACGGGAGGCAGCAGUAGGGAAUCUUCCGCAAUGGACGAAAGUCUGACGGAGCAACGCCGCGUGAGUGAUGAAGGCUUUCGGGUCGUAAAACUCUGUUGUUAGGGAAGAACAAGUACAAGAGUAACUGCUUGUACCUUGACGGUACCUAACCAGAAAGCCACGGCUAACUACGUGCCAGCCGCCGCAGUAAUAC
rnacentral:rRNA from 1 species